rnacentral:rRNA from 1 species
CUSCAGAGUUUGGAWUCAUGGCUCAGAUUGAACGCUGGCGGCAGGCCUAACACAUGCAAGUCGAGCGGUAGAGAGAAGCUUGCUUCUCUUGAGAGCGGCGGACGGGUGAGUAAUGCCUAGGAAUCUGCCUGGUAGUGGGGGAUAACGUUCGGAAACGGACGCUAAUACCGCAUACGUCCUACGGGAGAAAGCAGGGGACCUUCGGGCCUUGCGCUAUCAGAUGAGCCUAGGUCGGAUUAGCUAGUUGGUGAGGUAAUGGCUCACCAAGGCGACGAUCCGUAACUGGUCUGAGAGGAUGAUCAGUCACACUGGAACUGAGACACGGUCCAGACUCCUACGGGAGGCAGCAGUGGGGAAUAUUGGACAAUGGGCGAAAGCCUGAUCCAGCCAUGCCGCGUGUGUGAAGAAGGUCUUCGGAUUGUAAAGCACUUUAAGUUGGGAGGAAGGGUUGUAGAUUAAUACUCUGCAAUUUUGACGUUACCGACAGAAUAAGCACCGGCUAACUCUGUGCCAGCAGCCGCGGUAAUACAGAGGGUGCAAGCGUUAAUCGGAAUUACUGGGCGUAAAGCGCGCGUAGGUGGUUUGUUAAGUUGGAUGUGAAAUCCCCGGGCUCAACCUGGGAACUGCAUUCAAAACUGACUGACUAGAGUAUGGUAGAGGGUGGUGGAAUUUCCUGUGUAGCGGUGAAAUGCGUAGAUAUAGGAAGGAACACCAGUGGCGAAGGCGACCACCUGGACUAAUACUGACACUGAGGUGCGAAAGCGUGGGGAGCAAACAGGAUUAGAUACCCUGGUAGUCCACGCCGUAAACGAUGUCAACUAGCCGUUGGAAGCCUUGAGCUUUUAGUGGCGCAGCUAACGCAUUAAGUKGACCCSGSCCA